CCCCACCCCCCGUCCAGGCCUCUAGUCCUUUAACCUUCUCAAGGCAGGUUUAACCUUAACUCGGCUUUAGCUGUGCAAUCUGAGCACCAACCCCCACCAGAAUAGAAAGUGACAGACAUGGUGAAUCUAGAGGAAACACCACCAAACUCAGAACGUACACUCCCCACACACUACGGCUGUCCCAGACAAAAAUAAUAAUAAUAAUAAUAAUAAUCUUGGUCGACGAGGGCCGUCCUGUUCUUACGAACAAUUUAUUAGUUGAAAUGUUAAAACUUACACACACCCUGUGUGUUUGAAUCACAUCAACUACAUAUGCAGCGAGCUCGUCUGAUAUUUCUUUGAUCACACAAAUGGACUCGAAAAAGAAGAAGAGCGAGUGCCUGUGUGACCUGACACGCAUCGUCUCGCUCUCCUCCCUACUGCAGAGAAAAGGCACCACAGUGUUUAUCUUCCUGUCCGUGAUGAAGCUGCCACAUCAUUACAGCCAUUUAGUUUAUUACUUGUUACUGAAAAGUCCUGUUACUAAAAUCCCUCAUUUGUUAAGGAAUUUAUUUAUUAUUAUUAUUUUUUGGCUAUUCCCUCAACACUCGCUCUCUCUUCACACAAAACACGUAAGCAUGGCGUACGUGCGACGCCUGACCUACAGCCCAUCAUAACCACGUCAAUAAAUAACAAAACCCAAAACGUCAUAACACAGCAAAAUGGAUGUGGAUGACGUGAACAACAAACUAGAAAACGGGCGAACGCUCCGGAGGGGGAAGUCAGAUCUGUGGAAGACAUUUGACUUAAGUUUAUGAAACUACAGGUGAUCAAGUAAACAGAGGGUAGAGAGGAGGAAGCGUUGUGAGAGUAUUUGUGUGCCAAACAGUUGCUGUUAGAGUACAAUGUUUUCUCUGACCAUUUGGACCAGUGUAAAACACUAAGAGAACUUGGUUCGAUUUGCGACGCUUAACGCGCCGCGCUGCAAGACACCGCCUCUACCAUCUCAUUGGUUUUUAGGAGCAUAUACCCACGUGGGUGAUUGAACCGAGGUCCACACUCCAACCUGCGUGUCCUCAUCGCGUCUGGUGUGGGUGAACAAACAAAUCAACAUGCGUACGACGGCGGACGCGCCAGCGGUCUGGGCAGGAUGUUGAUUCUAGAACAAAUUAAAAUUGGGAUUCUCUCUCCUCAAUUUUUUUUUUUUUUAGACAAUUCGGCUCGAAAACAUGAAGAUGGCAAGGCAGUGGGUGUGGUGAUGAAACCAGGACAAAAUGUCACAGCUACAGAACCCCCCCACACAAAAAAAGAGGCAUUUCAAUUCUCACUUCCACUGCUGCCUCCUCCUGGUCUCAAUCCCAGCAUGCAACAUGGCAACAAAGGGAAAGUCGUCAAUUUUACGGCGCACUGAAUAUUAUGUUCCAGAAACACGGACAGUGAGAGGGAGAGAGCACAUUUGUUAUAAAAAAAAUAAUAUUAUUUAUUAGUAUUGCACCAUUAUUUUUUUUUGACAUAAUAUAACCACAUACAAUGUCUUAGAGUGAUGGACUGUACCAUCCCAGUGGCCUUCGUAAUGGAUUAUUCCACAGGUGUUUUGGUGCACCAUGAAAACAAAAAAUAUAUUGCGACUGCUCGACGAAAGAAUCUCGGUUGUCCAACAGCCCAUCGACCAGUCGACUAAAUGGGGUCAGCCCUACUACAGAACACACACACACACUACAAAACACACACACGUGAGAAAAUAUGAAGAUGGCAAGGCAGUGGGUGUGGUGAUGAAACCAGGACAAAAUGUCACAGCUACAGAACCCCCCCCCCCCAAAAAAAGAGGCAUUUCAAUUCUCACUUCUAUUUUCAAACAUUUAUAUUCCCCAAAGUGAAAAUGGAGGGACAUUUUGUAAGGUCUCUGUGGUUCAAUUCCUAUAAUAAUGUAAUCAAGGUGUUUGUGGUUCAGGUCCUAUAAUAAUGUAAUCAAGGUGUUUGUGGUUCAGUUCCUAUAAUAAUAAUAAUAAUAUAAUCAAGGUGUCUGUGGUUCAGGUCCUAUAAUAAUGUAAUCAAGGUGUUUGUGGUUCAGGUCCUAUAAUAAUGUAAUCAAGGUGUUUGUGGUUCAGGUCCUAUAAUAAUGUAAUCAAGGUGUUUGUGGUUCAGUUCCUAUAAUAAUAAUAAUAAUAUAAUCAAGGUGUCUGUGGUUCAGGUCCUAUAAUAAUGUAAUCAAGGUGUUUGUGGUUCAGGUCCUAUAAUAAUAAUAUAAUCAAGGUGUCUGUGGUUCAGUUCCUAUAAUAAUGUAAUCAAGGUGUCUGUGGUUCAGUUCCUAUAAUAAUGUAAUCAAGGUGUUUGUGGUUCAGUUCCUAUAAUAAUAAUAAUAAUAUAAUCAAGGUGUCUGUGGUUCAGUUCCUAUAAUAAUGUAAUCAAGGUGUUUGUGGUUCAGUUCCUAUAAUAAUAUAAUCAAGGUGUCUGUGGUUCAGUUCCUAUAAUAAUGUAAUCAAGGUGUUUGUGGUUCAGUUCCUAUAAUAAUAAUAAUAAUAUAAUCAAGGUGUCUGUGGUUCAGUUCCUAUAAUAAUGUAAUCAAGGUGUUUGUGGUUCAGUUCCUAUAAUAAUGUAAUCAAGGUGUUUGUGGUUCAGUUCCUAUAAUAAUAUAAUCAAGGUGUCUGUGGUUCAGUUCCUAUAAUAAUGUAAUCAAGGUGUUUGUGGUUCAGUUCCUAUAAUAAUAAUAUAAUCAAGGUGUCUGUGGUUCAGUUCCUAUAAUAAUGUAAUCAAGGUGUUUGUGGUUCAGUUCCUAUAAUAAUAAUAAUAAUAUAAUCAAGGUGUCUGUGGUUCAGUUCCUAUAAUAAUGUAAUCAAGGUGUUUGUGGUUCAGUUCCUAUAAUAAUAUAAUCAAGGUGUCUGUGGUUCAGUUCCUAUAAUAAUGUAAUCAAGGUGUCUGUGGUUCAGUUCCUAUAAUAAUAUAAUCAAGGUGUCUGUGGUUCAGUUCCUAUAAUAAUAAUAUAAUUAAGGUGUUUGUGGUUCAGUUCCUAUAAUAAUGUAAUCAAGGUGUCUGUGGUUCAGUUCCUAUAAUAAUGUAAUCAAGUGGUUCAGGUCCUAUAAUAAUAAUAAUGUAAUCAAGUAGUUCAGGUCCUAUAAUAAUGUAAUCAAGUGGUUCAGUUCCUAUAAUAAUGUAAUCAAGUGGUUCAGGUCCCAUCAGAGUGUAAUCGAGGCAGAUCAGAAGAGUCCGGUAUUCCCAUAAUCAACAGGAUAUGAUGAAGAGCUGUAGAAUAGACAGUGUAUAAAGUGUGACAGUAGCAGUAAAUAGCUGUUGGACACCGUGAGGGUGAAGAUACUGUAUACUAAGUGCUAGAUUGUAGAUCACCAGAUAUGCCAGCUGCAUUGAUUGAUUCAAAGAACUAGAAGAAGAUCUGAGGAUAGAUUUCCAGUUAGAGGUGUGAUUAGCCUGCUACAGGUGGUGCCUAGCCUGCUACAGGUGGUGCCUAGCCUGCUACAGGAGGUGCCUAGCCUGCUACAGGAGGUGCCUAGCCUGCUACAGGAGGUGCCUAGCCUGCUACAGGAGGUGCCUAGCCUGCUACAGGAGGUGCCUAGCCUGCUACAGGAGGUGCCUAGCCUGCUACAGGAGGUGCCUAGCCUGCUACAGGAGGUGCCUAGCCUGCUACAGGAGGUGCCUAGCCUGCUACAGGAGGUGCCUAGCCUGCUACAGGAGGUGCCUAGCCUGCUACAGGAGGUGCCUAGCCUGCUACAGGAGGUGCCUAGCCUGCUACAGGAGGUGCCUAGCCUGCUACAGGAGGUGCCUAGCCUGCUACAGGAGGUGCCUAGCCUGCUACAGGAGGUGCCUAGCCUGCUACAGGAGGUGCCUAGCCUGCUACAGGAGGUGCCUAGCCUGCUACAGGAGGUGCCUAGCCUGCUACAGGAGGUGCCUAGCCUGCUACAGGAGGUGCCUAGCCUGCUACAGGAGGUGCCUAGCCUGCUACAGGAGGUGCCUAGCCUGCUACAGGAGGUGCCUAGCCUGCUACAGGAGGUGCCUAGCCUGCUACAGGAGGUGCCUAGCCUGCUACAGGAGGUGCCUAGCCUGCUACAGGAGGUGCCUAG